AUCUAUGGCCAUGCCACCCUGAACAAGUCUGAUCCUGUCUGAUCUUGGAAGCUAAGCAGGGUCAGAUCUGGUUAGUACUUGGAUGGGAGACCACCUAGGAAGACCAGGUGCUGCAGGCA
rnacentral:rRNA from 1 species